AGAGUUUGAUCCUGGCUCAGAGUGAACGCUGGCGGUAGGCCUAACACAUGCAAGUCGAACGGCAGCACAGGAGAGCUUGCUCUCUGGGUGGCGAGUGGCGGACGGGUGAGGAAUACAUCGGAAUCUACUCUGUCGUGGGGGAUAACGUAGGGAAACUUACGCUAAUACCGCAUACGACCUACGGGUGAAAGCAGGGGACCUUCGGGCCUUGCGCGAUUGAAUGAGCCGAUGUCGGAUUAGCUAGUUGGCGGGGUAAAGGCCCACCAAGGCGACGAUCCGUAGCUGGUCUGAGAGGAUGAUCAGCCACACUGGAACUGAGACACGGUCCAGACUCCUACGGGAGGCAGCAGUGGGGAAUAUUGGACAAUGGGCGCAAGCCUGAUCCAGCCAUACCGCGUGGGUGAAGGAGGCCUUCGGGUUGUAAAGCCCUUUUGUUGGGAAAGAAAUCCAGCUGGCUAAUACCCGGUUGGGAUGACGGUACCCAAAGAAUAAGCACCGGCUAACUUCGUG
rnacentral:rRNA from 1 species